UGAUUGGUGAUCAGAAAUGACUACAUGUACAUCUGAGUGACCCGUAAUAUUUUUGUGACUAAAUUCUUCCUGCUGCCUUUUUACUUACAGGAUAUAGAUAAGAAAGAUAAGAAAGUUAUUGUUAUAUAUGUAGAGAAGUUCAUUAAAAAAAAAUAUGACUGGUAGAUUAUUUGACAAAUAGAUUUGUGAAACUGUGAUUUAUAAUUCAACCCAUGAAAAAGUGCUGAUCUAGAACUUUUUGUUGUUGUAUUUUUUCAAUUUCUGUCAAGCCUGAUGUGAGAUGUUCUUUGAACAUGGGAACUGUAUAUGUAAGGUGUGUGCUGUUAAUUUUAUUUUUAAAAAUGAUACAAAACCAACCAAUAUCUUGGUUUCCUCAAUAUAGUGCUUACAAUGAGGGUUCUGUUCUUGUUUAUCAUUAUUUGUAUACUGUUCCUCAAUCUUUUUAUCGUUUUCUGUUGAACCAAUGUAAAUAUAAAGAACAUAUUGAUAUGUUAAUAUUGAAGAUGUGAUUAAAAAAAAUCAUGUUUCCUUAGAUUAAUUAAUUUGGUUUGUUAUUGUUUUAGUUCUGUCUACAAUUGUAACCUUCACAUAUUUAUAUUUGAUGCUUUGAUAGAAACUUUAUACCUUUUGACUAUAAAGGUGAGAGGUGAAUGAAGUGUUUUUACUUGAAGGUCAAGGUUAAAUUGAAUGUUUAAGGUUCAGUUGGUUACGUAUUGCUUUGCUAUGUGGCAUUACAAGAAACAUCUUAAAUUUUGCAGAUAUUGGUCCUUCUUCCUUCUUCCGUUCUAAAUUGAAAGUUUUUUAAUGUGUGCUAAUUGACAUCGGCUUGUUUGUAAUCUUUUUAUUUGAUUGCCAGCACAAGCUCAAUUCAUUAGUAAAAACAAACAGCUGAUAAAGCUUAUGAAAUGUUUAUUCAAUCAAUAUCAGCAUUAACCUGUUUUAUACAUUUUUUUGUGUUUAUUUCCCACAUCUUUGCAUACUAAAAAGGUUACUAGUAAAAAAAAUAUUGGGCAUAUACUUGUUUAUAUGUUUUGCUUCAGUAAUACUCAUCAAUGCCUAAUAUGAAUUAUAAAUUACAUGUAGUUCUUGGUUUAAUAUUUUAUUGAUUGAUUGACUGUUUGAUUGAUUGAUAAAUUGAUUGAUUGGAUAUCAUGAGUGCUACCUGUAUAUUCGUUAUAGUGAACUAUUUAUGACAAAUCAUAUUCCAAAUAAUUAUCUGCAAUUGAAUGAUUUUUAAUUGUUGACUUAUUUAUAUUUUUUCUUUUAUUCUUUGAAUUACAUAUACAUAUGUAAUUGUAUAUGCUUGCCUUUUCCUCGUAAUAAUACUUGUUCUACGAAGGAAAAUUUGUGUAGACUGCAUACACUGCACUUUUUUCAUAAUAAUACCUCUGAUGAAUGUAAGUAAUUGUUUUAAUAGCUUUGGGGUUUAUUUUUUUUUCAAUGUCGUAUAUAUUUCAUACUUUUAUGAAUGCUAUCAUUUUAAGCUGAUAAUAUGUAUUGUCUUUUUAUCUGAAUUAGUUAUAUGUACUGUACUCAUUGACAAUUAAAAAAAAUGUUUAUUGGUGAAAGACAAUCUAUACAUAUACCUGAUGUAUGUUUAUAAAUGAAUUCUUCUGUUGAUUCUGAUGUUUAUUUUUCAUUUAUUAAAAAAAUAUUCAAGAUGAAUUAUUACAAAUAUCUUGUUACAUUUGUUUGUUUGUUUUGUAAAUAUGAGAACGAUUUUAAUAGUACUACGUUAUAUAUAUAAUGUGUUUGACAACUCUUAGUAAUAUUAUUAAAACAAUCCUUCACUGUU
rnacentral:sRNA from 1 species